rnacentral:rRNA from 1 species
UGUGCCUACGGGACGCAGCAGUGAGGAAUAUUGGUCAAUGGGCGAGAGCCUGAACCAGCCAAGUCGCGUGAGGGAUGACUGCCCUAUGGGUUGUAAACCUCUUUUGUAUGGGGGGAAUAAGCUUUACGAGUAGAGUGAUGACAGUACCAUACGAAUAAGCAUCGGCUAACUCCGUGCCAGCAGCCGCGGUAAUACGGAGGAUGCGAGCGUUAUCCGGAUUUAUUGGGUUUAAAGGGUGCGCAGGCGGAUUUUUAAGUCAGCGGUCAAAUCGUGGGGCUCAACCCCAUCCAGCCGUUGAAACUGGG